ensembl:lncRNA
AAUAAAGUGAUUUCAAAGUAAAGGAAUUUAGCAUUCUGAACUUCUGAAUACCUUUGAAAUAGGAAGCACCUAGUGAGAGAACUUCACAACACAAGCUUCUGGUAUUACCUUUAUUUCAAUCAAUCCACAUAGAAAUAAAUUGCCACAGCUUUUAAGAAACUUCUGUUGAACCAAUGGCUAGAUUGUUUAAGCGUGAUCAUUGAAGAUGUAAUCAUCUGAGUCACUGUUUCAAUUCAAGCCAAAAACAUCACUCAGUUGUCCUAUGUAAUCUUAUGUGAAGUCAAUAAUCAUCCACUCAACAGAUCAGCUCUGAUGCCUUGCACAUCCCUUGCUGGUUUCCUCUCUGUAAAAGAAAAGCUUUAUUUAAUUUGCAGUCAGCAUCAAAUACCUGAAUGAAGUUAAGUGGCCUAAGAUUGAACUAUAUGAAGAAGCUACAUGACAUUAACCUUAAAUCAAAGGCAUUUCUCAAUAAGUAUUACAUUUCUACAGGACAGGAUUUUCCUUGCCCAUACCAUUUAUACACAUUCCAGUUCAGGGCAAGUCUAGGAAGAAAAAACAGGUCCACUUUCCCAGAUGUUAUUUAAUUUAGUUUGGCUGAUCUACAUAAAAUCAGUUUUAAAAAUUCUAGAUUUCCACAGAGGUUUCCAGUAGUCCAAACUGGUUUCAAGAGAUUUUUUGUUUGUUUGUUUAUUUAACUUUCAGGUAAGCAAUAAUUUAAGCUGCUUAGCUAGAGACAACACAACCCCAUCCACUCAGGUCUGAUAAGCCUUUUUAUACUACAUACCCGGAGACUUAUCAAUUCACAAGGAACUCUUGUGACUCCACAUUGUUUAUUGCCAUCUCACAAAGCAUAUUCUAGGUGGUCAAGGAGUACCAACACACUUGAGGACUCUGAAAACUGGAAAAGAUUAAUGUGAAACAGAAUUAGAUAACACGAUCAUCAGAUGACUUCUCAAAUUCUAGAAGCUUCUUUGAAUGCAAUAAAUAACUUUCUGAAACUCAUGAAAGUGGUUUUAUGGUUUCAUUAACAUGUUCCUCUCAGCGUGAUCCAAAGAAGAGUUUCAGCCUCACCUCUGGGUUUGAGAGAGAACUGUUAUACCCCUCCGUACUGGCCACUUAAGACACUGACAGACUUAAGAGGGCAAAGCUAAAAAGGGGAGUAGAUCAUACUAACUUGUUUUUAAGAUUAUUUGCAUUUACCAUUUACUCAAACUAGAUAACGUACUCGAAACUCAUGAAUUACCAAAAAGAAUGACUUAAAAUGGCCAAUAAAUCAUCAUACUAGGAAGCACUUACCUUCUUAAUAGAAGGUAUUAUUCAUUCCUAAGGAAUCCUGAGAACUGCUUUCAAUUUAGGUGUGAUCAUCCAUUUCCAGGCUGCUCCAAUCAUGAAACUGCUAAGUGACCCCUAAACAGCACAAAUUAUUACAGUGUAAGUUUUCAGAAGUCACUUAUGAACUUCAUCAUCAAAUAUCUAGAGCAAGGUGUAGACGGUUUAAUCAGAUGGAUGAGAAUAUCCUUUCCUAAUAUGGCCAUUUAAGCUAAAUAGGACAUAUCUUCUUAAUAUCUCUGAAUACGCUGCUAAACAGGAAGCCUACAUUACUUCUAGUGCCACUACCCCGAAGUUGGGAGUUCCCAGCUUUAUGAGAAGCCUUAACUGGCUAAUUUGUUUCCACCGUGUACCUACUUGCUAUACCUUGCAACAAAUUACAGGCAGAGGAACGACUGGGAGGCACCAAAAGCUACAGUAGCAGACAGAAGAGCAGGCCGGGCCUACGGAAAACUACUGCAGAGGCAAAGCAACGACGCUCAGCGCACGACCUGCGAGACUCGAAGGGAACAGAGGAAGGCUCACGCUGAGCCGGCACGCCCCUUACCUGCCGGCAUCAGCACACGCGGCUCCAGCCCCAGCAUGCCCACGGCAGCGGCCGCCCGGGGCGGGGAGCAACCAGCCGGGCACCCGGCGGGCAGAGCCACGGAAGGCAUCGGGAGGCCAGAGAAGUCAGCGUGGGAGGUGAGGGAAGGAGCCGGGGACGAAGGGAGGGGACGCUUGUGCCUCACGACAGGAUGCAGGGCGGAGGGGCGGCUCCGCACUGGGUUUAUGUGAGGAAGGCGCUCUAUCCCCCUGUGUUGACUCCUCGGGGCACUGUCAGGCUCCGAGAGGGCAAAUGUGAAGGGAAGAUGCAACGUAGGCCCCCGCCCCGCCCUUCGCCCACCGGCACGAGCCUCCCCCAGCCCUUCACACCACCCGCCCCUCAUGUGAGAGGAACGUCGGGCG